rnacentral:tRNA from 1 species
GCGGAGGUCGCCAAGCAUGGUCAAAGGCGCAAGGUUGAGGUCCUUGUCACUGAGGUGUUCGUGGGUUCAAAUCCCACCCUCCGCACCA